CAAAAAAUAGUUUAAAUAAAACGUUAAUUUUGGGGAUUAAAUAUAUCUAUGAGUGGAUUUUUUUGA
rnacentral:tRNA from 1 species